rnacentral:tRNA from 1 species
GCGCUCGUAGCUCAGUCGGAUAGAGCACCAGUUUCCUAAAUUGGAUGUCGCAGGUUCGAAUCCUGCCGGGCGUG